GAGGUAAUUAUUAUUGAGCUUCUAACUCAAUUUACAAUAGAAAAAAUCCUAUUUUACUUCU
rnacentral:tRNA from 1 species